rnacentral:rRNA from 1 species
AGUGAACGCUGGCGGUAGGCCUAACACAUGCAAGUCGAACGGCAGCACAGUAAGAGCUUGCUCUUACGGGUGGCGGGUGGCGGACGGGUGAGGAAUACAUCGGAAUCUACUUUUUCGUGGGGGAUAACGUAGGGAAACUUACGCUGAUACCGCAUACGACCUACGGGUGAAAGCAGGGGAUCUUCGGACCUUGCGCGAUUGAAUGAGCCGAUGUCGGAUUAGCUAGUUGGCGGGGUAAAGGCCCACCAAGGCGACGAUCCGUAGCUGGUCUGAGAGGAUGAUCAGCCACACUGGAACUGAGACACGGUCCAGACUCCUACGGGAGGCAGCAGUGGGGAAUAUUGGACAAUGGGCGCAAGCCUGAUCCAGCCAUACCGCGUGGGUGAAGAAGGCCUUCGGGUUGUAAAGCCCUUUUGUUGGGAAAGAAAAGCAGCAGGUUAAUACCCCGCUGUUCUGACGGUACCCAAAGAAUAAGCACCGGCUAACUUCGUG